rnacentral:tRNA from 1 species
CAGUAGCGGCCCAACUGGGCGUGUAAACGCCCCCGUAUUGAGCGCGCCGGGCGCCGUCUGGUCUCCAAAACCGGGCAGCAGGGUUCGACUCCCUGGCUCUUUGCCA